rnacentral:rRNA from 1 species
GACGAACGCUGGCGGCGUGCUUAACACAUGCAAGUCGAACGAGACGAUUGAAAGCUUGCUUUCGAAAGUCGAGUGGCAAACGGGUGAGUAACGCGUAGACAACCUGCCUUUGAGAUGGGGACAACAGUUCGAAAGGACUGAUAAUACCGAAUGUUGUAUAUUUUCCACAUGGAAGAUAUAUUAAAGAUGGCCUCUAUUUAUAAGCUAUCGCUCAAAGAUAGGUCUGCGUCUGAUUAGCUGGUUGGUGGGGUAACGGCCUACCAAGGCGACGAUCAGUAGGCGGUCUGAGAGGAUGAACGGCCACAUUGGGACUGAGACACGGCCCAGACUCCUACGGGAGGCAGCAGUGGGGAAUCUUCCACAAUGGACGAAAGUCUGAUGGAGCAACGCCGCGUGAGUGAAGAAGGGUUUCGGCUCGUAAAGCUCUGUUGUCGGGGACGAAUGUGCAGUAUUUGAAUAAAGUACUGCAAUGACGGUACCUGACGAGGAAGCCACGGCUAACUACGUGCCAGCAGCCGCAGUAACAC